GUCUACUGACAUACCAUCCCGAACGCGCCCAAUCUCAUCUGAUCUCAGAAGAUAAGCAGGGACGGGCCUGGUUAGUACUUGGAUGGGAGACCAUCUGGGAAUACUGGAUGCUGUAGGCU
ensembl:rRNA 5S_rRNA 5S ribosomal RNA